rnacentral:lncRNA from 1 species
AGUGUAGAGAUUAGAGAGAGAACAGGCAUUAAUUGCAAAUAUUUCAUAAGAUUCACUAAUCUUUCUUAAGAUCUCAUGUAUCAAAACAAAUCCUCAAAAAUUCUCUCUCUCUUCCUCACCCAUCACUCACGCCUAACUCUCUCUCCCCCUCACCUCUCACUUUCCUCCAUUUUCCUCCAUUGAAGAAGACCUUCGGAGCUUCCAAAAAUAUUACCAAACACCUCAAUCCACUCUAAAAUCUUCCAUAAACACAUUCUAGCUACUUAUAUUCAAGAGAAUCCUUGAAGAAGAGCUUCAAAGCUAGAGUGAGAAAGUGUGAAUCUUGGUAAGAAAUUUGGGUAAGUGACCAUGUAUUCCAUAAAUCUUGCUUGGAUGAUGUUGUAUGUGAGCAUUCUUGAAAGAUUGAAGCAAGAAAAUCACCCCCUCCCUUUUUCCAAAAUUUUCGAAAAAGUGGGUCUUCACCCCUUCAAAAAAUUUUCUUUUUCUUUUCUUGAUUUGGGGUGAAAAAUGAGAUUUACAUGAGGUAUGUUGAUGUUUGAUGUGUGUUGUGAAGUAUGUGACUUGAGAUGUGAAAAUCCGAUGGAAUUUAGUUUACCCAAAAAUGGGAACUUUUGAGUCAAUGAGUUAAUGAUGAAUUGAUGAUGUAGAUGAGUCCAUGAGAUGUAUAUGAUGAUGAUUGAUGGAGUAAAUUGAGUAUAUGAUGUCAAUUGAUGAUUUUGAUAUGAGUUAGUUUACUAAAAUUAGGGAUAUGUGUAUCGAUGCUCUAAUUUGUAAAUUGAUGAAUUAUAUGUGAGAUAAAUGGGAUAAAAAUGAUAGAUAUAUGAUGGAUUAAAGAUCCAUAUGUGUUUAUAAAAUUUCAAAGAGUUUAGUUUAAUAAAAAUUAGGACUUUUUGGUCUAUGUGUUAUUAAGUGAUUUGGCUUAAGAUAUACUCCCUCCGUCCCAAACGAAAUGUCCUCCUUCUUUGGGCACGGUUAUUAAGGAUGCAUUAUCUACCUAAUCUAGUAGAAAUUGAAAUAAUGCCGUGAAAUGUCAUUGAAUCUUAUAUGCUAGUAGUGUCUUUGUAUCUUUGAUUAAGUCUUUUAUGGGCUAAGUAAAAUUUUGACUUAGUUUAGUUUAUAUGAGUUUUUGAGUUCUCAUAUGAUGUGAGGUUGAUGCUUGGUAAAAUGAGGUCUAAUUGCUUUAUAACCAUUAUGUGAAUAUUUGUCAUGUUUUAAUAAGAGUUUUAUGUUGAUACAUGAGUUUUCAUUUGAGUUAGACUACAUGAUAAAAAAAGGGAAUCUAUAUGUGUAAAUGAGUUAUAUGAUGAAUGAGAUCAUGUUUGAAUGAUUGAGUAAUUUUGAGCAUGAAAAUGAGAAGAGAAUUUUAAUGAUGCGUUCGUUGAAACGUUUUCCUUGAGAUUUGAGUUUAUGAUGUAAGAGAAGAGUCGAGAUUGAGUAUGAUGAGUCUUAUGAUGUACUUGAAUGUUUUUGAAUGCUAUAAGUGUUUAAAAUGAGCUUUGAUGAGUUUGCCUUGAAGAAAUGUUGAGUUGAGCAUGUUUGCUUGUGUGAAUGAUUUCGGAGUCAUUUUUCAUGACGCACUGACCUACUGUUUUCGAGGGGUUUUUGAUACCCAAACACCAUGAAAAUUUUAUGGUAAGUAUAUUUGAGAGUCUUGAGAACACCGGUGAAACUGCUACGUGCCGAUGUUCGGCGAGUAGCCAAUAGAGUCACCUUUUCCAGUAGCUUUCCUUAGCAUUCUGGAUCCCAAAUUUUUAUGGUUGAGACCUGAGUGUCUUAGCUAAGUACCCACCAAAUUUCAGACCUUUUUGACAACGUUUACUAUUUUUCAAAAAUCAAACUUUUCGGUUGCUAAAAACUGCCGAAUAUGGUAGACUGUAGUAAAACAGUCAUAUCUCCUAAAAUACUUGGAGUUUUUGAUCCUAAUUUUUUUUAAAUGAAACUAGACUCAAAGAGGUUUCUUUGGGUAUAAGUUACGACUCCAGGGGAGUUCGGUACAGAGUCUGGUGAGGUUUUAAAGUUGAGUCAGUGCAGAGUGAAGUUUGUUUUUAACUUGUCUAUAUGUAUUUUUCAUAUGCUUAAGUGUUUAUACUUGUUUAUAUGCUUGAUUGCUAUGAGUUUGAGCCAAGUUGAGAGUUAAGUCGAUAAUAGGACGUGUGAAUCCUUAGAAGUUAAGUAUACCUAGGGGUUGAGUUUAAUGAGUAAAUAGUCGUUGAGUGAAAAGUUAUAGUUGAGAUGAGAUUGGAAUUAGUAAUGAGUUACUAAUCGAGAUUCAUUUUAUCACAUGAACCUUCGAUGACGAUGACGAUGUGAUGAUGAUAUAUAAAGGCCCGAGCGAGACGAAGAUGUAAGUCGCCUGAUUUCUUUCCCGAUUUUGCGAAGGACUUCAGGUGGGCAAUAUUUUGAGAUACAUAUAUCAUUCGAGCUAUCUAAAAUGAUUUGAUGAUGUUAUGAAUUUGUCAAAUGUCUUGAGAUAAAUGAUAUUUGAGAACUGUUUGACUUGCCAAUUUUGAUGUUGAGCUUGUAUGUUACCCUCUACUGAUGAGAUGAAACGAAUUCGGAUCCUGCCACAAGCAGGGUUGUGUACACAGAGGUGACCGUGAGCCGUCUUCGGGUCGGCCGGUCACGGUGCUCGAGAAGGAGGCCUACUUCUCAGUACCUUUGAUGAUGAUGAGUUGUAGAUGUGGUGCAUGCAUGUUGAAAUCUUUGACAGCUGUCAUUCAUUCAUUUCUUUAUGAUGUUUAUUAAAACUGCUUACACAGGUUCAUUUACGCUAAAUUUAUUCCUGUGUAUUGCUGAGAUGUGGCAAGUUUCAAACCUAUAGCUCUAAGAGCACCUUUCCUGUUUUUCGGCGUUUGCCCACUGAGUAUUAUGUACUCACGCCCUGCAUGUAUUUCUAAAUGUGCAGACUAAGCGAGGAGCGAGAUUGGACUGGUGCUGGUGGGGAAUUGUUAGAGGAUGUAUUUACUUUAUCG